rnacentral:tRNA from 1 species
GUGGCUGUGGCGCAGUCGGUAGCGCAGUAGAUUGUGAUUCUAUUGGUCGUGGGUUCGAGUCCCAUCAGCCACC